rnacentral:tRNA from 1 species
GCAGAUGUCGUCCAGCAGUCAGGAUUUCUCGUUGCCAACGAGAGGACGGUGGUGCAACUCCAUCCAUCUGCUCCA